rnacentral:tRNA from 1 species
GAAAUGUGUAGAUACAAGUAAAAGCCGCUAACUUAUUACUUUAGCGGUUAAACUCCGUUUACAUUUCU